UCACAUGCAGUCGAGCGCACCUUUCGGGGUGAGCGGCGGACGGGUGAGUAACGCGUGGGAACGUACCCUCUUGCCUGGGAUAACAGUUGGAAACGACCGCUAAAGCCGGAUGAGCCCUAUGGGGGAAGGAGAGGAUCGGCCCGCGUCUGAUUAGAUAGUUGGUGGGGUAACGGCCUACCAAGUCUACGAUCAGUACCUGGUUUGAGAGGAUGAUCAGGCACACUGGGACUGAGACACGGCCCAGACUCCUACGGGAGGCAGCAGUGGGGAAUCAUAGACAAUGGGGGAAACCCUGAUCUUGCCAUGCCGCGUGGACGAUGAAGGCCUUAGGGUUGUAAAGUCCUUUCACCGGGGAAGAUAAUGACGGUACCCGGAGAAGAAGCCCCGGCUAACUCCGUGCCAGCAGCCGCGGUAAUACGGAGGGGGCUAGCGUUGUUCGGAAUUACUGGGCGUAAAGCGCGCGUAGGCGGGCUGUUAAGUCGGGGGUGAAAUCCCGGGGCUCAACCCCGGAACUGCCCUCGAUACUGGCAGCCUAGAGGAUGGCAGAGGCCAGUGGAAUGGCGAGUGUAGAGGUGAAAUUCGUAGAUAUUCGCCGGAACACCAGUGGCGAAGGCGACUGGCUGGGCCAUUUCUGACGCUGAGGCGCGAAAGCGUGGGGAGCAAACAGGANUAGAUACCCUGGUAGUCCACGCCGUAAACGAUGAGUGCUAGUCGUUGGGGAGCAUGCUCCGCAGUGACGCAGCUAACGCAUUAAGCACUCCGCCUGGGGAGUACGGCCGCAAGGUUAAAACUCAAAGGAACUGACGGGGGCUCGCACAAGCAGUGGAGCAUGUGGUUUAAUUCGAAGCAACGCGCAAACCUUACCACCUCUUGACAUGG
rnacentral:rRNA from 1 species